AGAAUGGCUACAGUGUGCGCAGGAGCGCCUGCGUCAUCGUAUAUUUGUUUGCAGUGUGACAAACUGCAUUCAUUAGACUGAUUCAUACUGUUUUCCACUACGUAUCUAGCAAGUACGCUAUUAACAACUUGACGUUUCUUUCGCGUAUUGGACCCAUGUUUUAAGUUUAAUGAUAGACGGAGCAAGAAAUGGGGUUGUGCCUUUCGUUCGACUGUGGAGAUUGUGAUGUUUGCGUCAAUCCUUGUUGUUUGGCCCUGAGCGCUUGCUGUCUAGUACCCUGCUGUUGUCCAAACGCCUGUGGCCGACAAGAUCCGCCACAGACGGUGAUCGUCCAGCAACCACCUGUGGUUAUAGAGCAGCAACCGCCGCCACCUGGUUAUCCUUACCCGCCACCUGGAGGAUAUCCUGGUUAUCCCCCACAAGGCUACCCUCCUCAUCAACACUACCCCUACUCAUCGGAUCAAAUGAUGAGAUGAUCGGACUUAAGUGUGUUUAAAGUCUUCUUGUCUAAAUAAGGAUGGGUUGUAAUGUAUCGUGUCGUCCGUGCUGUUGCUGUUGUAUUCCGUGUUUAUGCUGCGAUUGUUGUGCGGAUCCCCCACCCCCGACCGUAGUGCACCAUCACCAUGUCGUCCAAGUACCACCAGGCUAUUCUUCUGGUAGAAAUGAGCCACCUCCGCCCUAUAGAUAGCACACUAAAUAGUUUUAUAUAUAUACUCUUGACAUUGUUACGAAUCACCAAAUUUUUUUAACAAUAUCCUUUAAGAUCAGUCAAUUGGUCUACUUAAGAGCGUUUUUUUAAUGAAAUCAUCAAUUAUAUAUUUGUUUUACAACAAUUACGAGUCUUAAAAAAGAGAAAAUUUAAUUAAUUCGAACUAUUUAUAACGUAAUUACUACCCUCACCAAAAUUAUGUACAUUUUGACUUUGCAGUUAUUUAAAUAAAAAAGUGUAGGUUUGUAGAUAUUAUAUUAUAAUAUCUGAUCGUAUUUGUACGUAUUGUAAUUAGAUAAUGUAUACUUAGAUUAAUUAUUUAAUUGUAUGUACAUUACUUCCAAAUUGUAUAGGCAUGUAAAUUCACUUAUGCUUAUAUACUUAUUGUGAUGAUGGUGUUAUAUUAUAAACUAAUGUUUAUUAUAUAAAAUAUCAUUAUAUUAUGUUAACAGUCUUAAUUUAUAUUCUUGUUAUUUACAUUGAUAAAAAAAGUAUGUAUUCCUUAUUAUGUUUUUAUAUUUUUAUUUAGAUCUCAAAUGUAUAUACUUACAUUAAGUAGGUAAACCUACCUUUAACGUAUAAGUAUAAAGAGCCUAUAAGUAUAAAGAGUUCCGUACGUUAAAUAAAAUUAUGAGGAAUAUAUUAUCAAUAAUACGCAUAUAUUAUUUUUUAAAAUCUACAAUCUAUAUCGACACCGCAGGUGGCUGUUUCUCAAUUGUUAAUGAAUAUUAAACGUGGGUUUGUUUAGAUAUAUUUAAGAAAAAAUUAUACCAGGAGGUGUUAAGACUCAUCUGAAUUAUUAAAGGUGAAUGUAUUUAAAUUUUAUUAACCUCAAGAAACUCACGUAAUGUUAUUCUUAAUUAUGAGUUUAUGUCAGUCAUUAGUGUUGGGUUUCCAUAGCGAGAACUAAUUGUCUAUCAAACUGAAUAAAAUACUGCAGACUUUAGAUUUAUAGUUUAUAUAAUUGUAUGUAUUUCUUAUUUAAUAGUAUCAUUUUACAGUAUUAUUUUAUUAUAUUAUCAAAUAGAUAUAUGCAUGUAAAUAAUUCAAUCAAAUACGCAAAUCUCCAAACAACGUUUUUAAUUCAAUAAUGCCUUAACAAACUUAAAAAAGUUUAUAAAUUCUCCAGUAGUUUUGUUCUCCGUGUAGUACUUAGUACUUGUAAGUAAAAAAUAUUUUUAAAUGUGAAAAAAAUUCAGUUCCUUAGAAGAACAUCAUAUUUUUUGUCAUUAAUGGUCUGUUUAUAUUUUAUGUGUCUUAUACAUCACUACUUAUUAUAAAAUAAAGUCCUUCCCCGCGUCUGUCUGAUCGUAAUAAACUCAAAAUCUA